ACUUUUAAAGGAUAGUAGUAAUCCACUGGUUUUAGGAACCAACCACCCUUGGUGCAACUCCAGGUAAAAGUA
rnacentral:tRNA from 1 species